rnacentral:rRNA from 1 species
AGUGAACGUUGGCGGCGUGGAUUAGGCAUGCAAGUCGAGCGAGAACCGUAGCAAUACGGGGACAGCGGCGAAAGGGACAGUAAUGUGUAGGUACCUACCCCGAGGUCUGGGAUAGCUGCGGGAAACUGCAGGUAAUACCGGAUAAUGUCUUCGGACCAAAGGUGUGAUUCCACCUUGGGAGGGGCCUGCACCCUAUUAGCUUGUUGGCGGGGUAACGGCCCACCAAGGCGAAGAUGGGUAGCGGGUGUGAGAGCACGACCCGGCGUCAUUGGGACUGAGACACUGCCCAGACACCUACGGGUGGCUGCAGUCGAGGAUCUUCGGCAAUGGGCGCAAGCCUGACCGAGCGACGCCGCGUGCGGGAUGAAGGCCUUCGGGUUGUAAACCGCUGUCGUAGAGGAGGAAAUGCAGGGGGGUUCUCCCUUCUGUUUGACCUAUUCUAGGAGGGAGGACGGGCUAAGUUCGUGCCAGCAGCCGCGGUAA